GUUUAAGAGACAACCUGGAGAACUGAAACAUCUAAGUAACCAGAGGAAAAGAAAUCAAUUGAGAUUCCGUUAGUAGUGGCGAGCGAACGCGGACUAGGCCAGUAAUUUUGUUAAAAAAAUUUGAAUAGUUUGGAAAUGCUAACCAUAGAGGGUGAUAGUCCCGUAUGAGUAAUGUUUAACAAAAUUCUUGAGUAAAGCGGGACACGAGAAAUCCUGCUCGAAUAUAGGGGGACCACCCUCUAAGCCUAAAUACUCUUCAGUGACCGAUAGUGAACUAGUACCGUGAGGGAAAGGUGAAAAGAACCCCUAUUAGGGGAGUGAAAUAGAACCUGAAACUGCAUGCCUACAAUCAGUCGAAGCUCUUUUUAGAGUGACGGCGUACCUUUUGUAUAAUGGGUCAGUGACUUAAUUUAUUAAGCAAGCUUAAGCCAUCUAGGUGUAGGCGCAGCGAAAGCAAGUCUUAAUAGGGCGAUUAGUUUAAUGAAUUAGACCCGAAAACGAAUGAGCUUACCAUGAGCAGGUUGAAAGUUGGGUAACACCAACCGGAGGACCGAACCAGUUGACGUUGAAAAGUCUUUGGAUGACUUGUGGUAAGGGGUGAAAGGCCAACCAAAUUCGUAGAUAGCUGGUUUUCCGCGAAAACUAUUUAGGUAGUGCGUUGAAUAAAUAGAUGUUUAGAGGUAGAGCACUAAAUGGGCUAGGGGGAAGAGAUUCUUACCAAACCUAAUAAAACUCCGAAUGCUAGACAUUGU
rnacentral:rRNA from 1 species